AAUCAAUAAGGGAUCUCUGUAUCGUAUGCCCUUAAAUGAGCACAGAUUACUAGCUACAUGUAUGCUGCAUAAUAUUUGUUAUUUGCAUUUUACAUGUUUAAAGGAUUAUCAAAAUAGUAUUCACACUAAUAUUGAUAGAAUAAUUAAUCCAAGAAUGCAAAUAUAGAAAAAUCUUUUAGAUUAAUGACAGACAUGACAGAAC
rnacentral:lncRNA from 1 species